rnacentral:rRNA from 1 species
UGCCAGCAGCCGCGGUAAUACGUAGGGGGCCAGCGUUGCUCGGAAUUACUGGGCGUAAAGGGUUCGUAGGCGGUGCGGCAAGUCGGGAGUGAAAUCUCUGGGCUUAACCCAGAGGCUGCUUCCGAAACUGCCGUGCUAGAGUGCGGGAGAGGCCAGUGGAAUUGCAGGUGUAGCGGUGAAAUGCGUAGAUAUCUGCAGGAACACCCGUGACGAAGGCGGCUGGCUGGACCGCAACUGACGCUGAGGAACGAAAGCUAGGGGAGCAAACAGGAUUAGAUACCCUGGUAGUCCUAGCCCUAAACCAUCAGGACUUGGGGUGCAUCCCGUUGGGGGUGCGUCCCGUAGCUAACGCGUUAAGUACCUGCGCCCUGGGGAGUACCGGUCGCAAGGCUAAACUCAAAGAAUUAC